UACGGGGGGAGCAAGCGUUGUUCGGAAUUACUGGGCGUAAAGGGCGCGUAGGCGGCCAUCUAAGUCAGACGUGAAAUCCCCCGGCUUAACCUGGGAACUGCGUCUGAUACUGGGAGGCUCGAGUUUGGGAGAGGGAUGUGGAAUUCCAGGUGUAGCGGUGAAAUGCGUUGAUAUCAUCAGGAACACCGGAGGCGAAGGCGGCUCACUGGGGGUCUUCUGACGCUGAGGAACGAAAGCCAGGGGAGCGAACGGG
rnacentral:rRNA from 1 species